AUGCAGCCAGUUGAGCCGACCAUGCUCACUGCCCUCUGGGACUUGCCAAGCAGUGGUUGCAAACAAGAAGCCUCCUUGCUAGUAUCAGCAGCCUGUGGUUUGUGUGGACUGUUCAAACGGACCUUAAAGACAGUC
ensembl:snoRNA SNORA70 Small nucleolar RNA SNORA70